GGGAUCGAGCUACCAGCAGUCGAGCGGUACAGGGGGUGCUUGCACCCCGCUGACGAGCGGCGGACGGGUGAGUAAUGCAUAGGAAACUGCCCAGUAGUGGGGGAUAGCCCGGGGAAACCCGGAUUAAUACCGCGUACGCCCUUCGGGGGAAAGCAGGGGAUCUUCGGACCUUGCGCUAUUGGAUGUGCCUAUGUCGGAUUAGCUAGUUGGUGGGGUAAAGGCCUACCAAGGCGACGAUCCGUAGCUGGUCUGAGAGGAUGAUCAGCCACAUCGGGACUGAGACACGGCCCGAACUCCUACGGGAGGCAGCAGUGGGGAAUAUUGGACAAUGGGGGCAACCCUGAUCCAGCCAUGCCGCGUGUGUGAAGAAGGCUUUCGGGUUGUAAAGCACUUUCAGUGAGGAGGAAAACUCUGCGACUAAUACUCGUAGGGCUUGACGUUACUCACAGAAGAAGCACCGGCUAACUCCGUGCCAGCAGCCGCGGUAAUACGGAGGGUGCAAGCGUUAAUCGGAAUUACUGGGCGUAAAGCGCGCGUAGGUGGUUUGAUAAGCGAGAUGUGAAAGCCCCGGGCUUAACCUGGGAACGGCAUUUCGAACUGUCAGGCUAGAGUGUGGUAGAGGGGUGUGGAAUUUCCUGUGUAGCGGUGAAAUGCGUAGAUAUAGGAAGGAACACCAGUGGCGAAGGCGGCACCCUGGACCAACACUGACACUGAGGUGCGAAAGCGUGGGGAGCAAACAGGAUUAGAUACCCUUGGUAGUC
rnacentral:rRNA from 1 species